UACGUAGGGAGCAAGCGUUGUCCGGAAUCAUUGGGCGUAAAGCGCGCGUAGGCGGCCCUGUAAGUCCGUUGUGAAAGUCAAAGGCUCAACCUUUGAAAGCCGAUGGAUACUGCAGGGCUAGAGUCCGGAAGAGGCGAGUGGAAUUCCUGGUGUAGCGGUGGAAUGCGCAGAUAUCAGGAGGAAUACCGGUGGCGAAAGCGACUCUCUGGACGGCAACUGACGCUGAGGCACGAAAGCGUGGGGAGCAAACAGG
rnacentral:rRNA from 1 species